GUAGUAUCUGUAUCAAAACGUAUCACUCCUUUUGUUAAUUUAGUACCGAUUAGUCCAACAUCGAUCGUUAUUUAAACACGAAAAAUAAAAAAAAAAUAAUAUGGAAAAAAUCACGAGGAUAUUUCUGUUUGUGUUGAUUCUCGUAGUCGGCAUUUUGUUGGCAUUCCCCGUAGAACAGAAUGGUACCGUGGUGAACGCUUUCGAACCGAAUUUAACCAAGAUCGUAGGAGCCAAAUCGUGCCCAAAUGGCACCGAAUCGAAAGGGAAUUGCGACGAAGUCGUCGUUGAGGAAAAACGGACUAUCGAAAAUAAAUGUUCGCAAAAUUCGGAACUCGAAGAAUGUAAAGGAUUCGUGUCUACGUCCACGAGCAGUACCACGCCUCCGACGGAAAAUAAAGACAAGUUGUGUUUGUAUGGGUUUGAAUACGUUAACGGGAUUUGCAAAGAAAUUUAUUGAUAUGCAGGGUAUGCCUGUGAUUCUAUCGAGAAUAAGGAGUUCACAUUGUGAUUUUAUUAGUAUUUAUUUAUUAUUUAUUUAAUAUAUAAAAACAAAAACAAAAUAUAAUAUCAUCGUAAACAAAAGAAAUAUUCACAUUGGCAUUAGGCGUGUUUAACAAUUAGAAUGUAACGUUCGUAAACAGCAGCGCGUAUGGUGCUUUCACCUAUCGACUGUAGAUGUGAACAAACCAAACACUAAACCCGCCUUAACCCAGGUCACGAACUUGUUUAUAUCUUGAAAUAGUAUAUUAUAGCAAUUUUAGAUAAUUUUUUAAUAUACUAGUAGCCGUGGAUCCUAAAAAAUAUAGUCUCUGUUCGCUAAACCUGUCAGCGUCAGUGCAAAAAGUGAACUUAAAACAAAUAGUGUACAAGACACAAAAAAAUGAGGUUAUAAUUACGUUGAAUCGGUUCACAUAACACAAUUAUUUCAAUAUUUAAUUAAAAAUAUAUAUAUUUAAAUGACAUAUCACUAUUUUCGUAUAUCUUAAUAAAAUAUGUUGAAAAUAUACAGUGUGACCCAAAAGUAUUCAUCACGUUUCAACUACAAAAACGUUUAAUAAAUAAAGUUAUUUUUAUAUCACACUGUAUAUCCGUAUAUGUGUAACGUUAAUUAUUAUAAUUGGUACUUAAGGUAGCUCCAUUCUAGGAGUAUGAUCAAUUUUCUUUUGAAAUUAUUAAAUAUAUCAAUAAGACUAAUUCCUACUUUUGAAGUGAAAAUUUGACGAAAAUAUUACGUUUGACAACGGUGUAAUCUUAUAUCGAGUAAUAAAAUGUUUCUAGCUUGAUAAUGACGUAAUCUGUAUUUUUGGGGUUUCAAAUUUUUUCUUAAUUUAUUUUAUUCAUGGUAGUAAAUAUAAGUAGGAUUUAAUAUUAUUAUCUAUAUAACUAUUUAAGAUUCCCAGUACUUACUGUUAAUAAAAACAUUAAUAAAUAA